GCCUGGGUGGCUCAGUCGGUUGAGCAUCCGACUUUGGCUCAGGUCAUGAUCUCACUCUUUGUGGGUUCGAGCCCCACAUCGGGCU
rfam:Felis catus isolate Cinnamon breed Abyssinian chromosome B4, whole genome shotgun sequence.